rfam:Ciona savignyi cont_34565, whole genome shotgun sequence.
GACGAGGUGGCCGAGUGGUUAAGGCGAUGGACUGCUAAUCCAUUGUGCUCUGCACCCGGUGGGGUUCGAAUCCCAUCCUCGUCG